AUUGAACGCUGGCGGCGUGCUUAACACAUGCAAGUCGAUCGGUAACAGGUGUAGCAAUACAUGCUGACGAGAGGCGGACGGGUGAGUAAUGCUUGGGAAUCUGCCUAUUAGUGGAGGACAACCCGGGGAAACUCGGGCUAAUACCGCAUACGCUCUACGGAGGAAAGCCGGGGACCGCAAGGCCUGGCGCUAAUAGAUGAGCCCAAGUCGGAUUAGCUAGUUGGUAGGGAACGGCCUACCAAGGCGACAAUCCGUAGCUGGUCUGAGAGGACGACCAGCCACACCGGAACUGAGACACGGUCCGGACUCCUACGGGAGGCAGCAGUGGGGAAUAUUGGACAAUGGGGCAACCCUGAUCCAGCGACGCCGCGUGGGUGAAGAAGGCCUGCGGGUUGUAAAGCCCUUUCGG
rnacentral:rRNA from 1 species